UACGAAGGGGGCUAGCGUUGCUCGGAAUCACUGGGCGUAAAGCGCACGUAGGCGGGUCGUUAAGUCGGGGGUGAAAUCCUGGAGCUCAACUCCAGAACUGCCUUCGAUACUGGCGACCUUGAGUCCGGGAGAGGGGAGUGGAACUCCGAGUGUAGAGGUGAAAUUCGUAGAUAUUCGGAAGAACACCAGUGGCGAAGGCGGCUCACUGGCCCGGUACUGACGCUGAGGUGCGAAAGCCAGGGGAGCAAACGGG
rnacentral:rRNA from 1 species